rnacentral:rRNA from 1 species
AGAGUUUGAUCAUGGCUCAGGAUGAACGCUAGCGGCAGGCCUAACACAUGCAAGUCGAGGGGCAGCACAGAAGAAGUUUACUUCUUGGGUGGCGACCGGCGCACGGGUGCGUAACGCGUAUGCAAUCUACCUUGUACAGAGAGAUAGCCCAGAGAAAUUUGGAUUAAUACCUCAUAGUAUCAUUGAAUGGCAUCAUUUAAUGAUUAAAGUUUCGGCGGUACAAGAUGAGCAUGCGUCCUAUUAGUUAGAUGGUGAGGUAACGGCUCACCAUGACUACGAUAGGUAGGGGUUCUGGGAGGAUGAUCCCCCACACUGGUACUGAGACACGGACCAGACUCCUACGGGAGGCAGCAGUGAGGAAUAUUGGUCAAUGGACGCAAGUCUGAACCAGCCAUGCCGCGUGCAGGAAGACGGUCCUCUGGAUUGUAAACUGCUUUUAUUUGGGAAGAAACCCCCGGUCGUGCAUCGGGGCUGACAGUACCAAAGGAAUAAGCACCGGC